UACAGAGGUCCCAAGCGUUGUUCGGAUUCACUGGGCGUAAAGGGUGCGUAGGCGGCGCGGUAAGUCGGGUGUGAAAUCUCGGAGCUUAACUCCGAAACUGCAUUCGAUACUGCCGUGCUUGAGGACUGGAGAGGAGACUGGAAUUACGGUGUAGCGGUGAAAUGCGUAGAUAUCGUAAGGAAGACCAGUGGCGAAGGCGGGUCUCUGGACAGUUCCUGACGCUGGAGGCACGAAGGUCAGGGGAGCAAA
rnacentral:rRNA from 1 species